rnacentral:rRNA from 1 species
UACGAAGGGGGCUAGCGUUGUUCGGAAUUACUGGGCGUAAAGCGCGCGCAGGCGGUCUUCCAAGUCAGUGGUGAAAGCCUGGAGCUCAACUCCGGAACUGCCAUUGAAACUGUGAGACUGGAGUACGAGAGAGGUGAGUGGAAUUCCCAGUGUAGAGGUGAAAUUCGUAGAUAUUGGGAAGAACACCGGUGGCGAAGGCGGCUCACUGGCUCGUAACUGACGCUCAUGCACGACAGCGUGGGGAUCAAACAGG